rnacentral:rRNA from 1 species
AGCAGUCGCCACGGGAAUACAGAGGGUGCGAGCGUUAAUCGGAUUUACUGGGCGUAAAGCGUGCGUAGGCGGCUUCUUAAGUCGGAUGUGAAAUCCCUGAGCUUAACUUAGGAAUUGCAUUCGAUACUGGGAAGCUAUAGUAUGGGAGAGGAUGGUAGAAUUCCAGGUGUAGCGGUGAAAUGCGUAGAGAUCUGGAGGAAUACCGAUGGCGAAGGCAGCCAUCUGGCCUAAUACUGACGCUGAGGUACGAAAGCAUGGGGAGCAAACAGGAUUAGAUACCCGUGUAGUCCCUGUCUCUUAUAC